rnacentral:rRNA from 1 species
CGGCGCNCAAAGGGAAGCGACGGGGCGACCCCGAGCCAACCCCAGAAAAGGCGCCUCAGUUCGGAUUGCAGCCUGCAACUCGGCUGCAUGAAGCUGGAAUCGCUAGUAAUGGCAGGUCAGCAUACUGCCGUGAAUACGUUCCCGGGCCUUGUACACACCGCCCGUCACACCAUGAGAGUCGGGAACACCCGAAGUCCGUAGCCUAACAGCAAUGGGGGCGCGGCCGAAGGUGGGUUCGAUAAUUGGGGUGAAGUCGUAACAAGGUAAC